CAUGGAGUUUGAUCCUGGCUCAGGAUGAACGCUAGCGGCAGGCUUAACACAUGCAAGUCGAGGGGUAUAGUUCUUCGGAGCUAGAGACCGGCGCACGGGUGCGUAACGCGUAUGCAAUCUACCUUUUACAGAGGGAUAGCCCAGAGAAAUUUGGAUUAAUACCUCAUAGUAUGUGAGAAUCGCAUGGUUUUUCACAUUAAAGUUCCAACGGUAAAAGAUGAGCAUGCGUCCCAUUAGCUAGAUGGUAAGGUAACGGCUACCAUGGCGACGAGUGGGUAGGGGUCCUGAGAGGGACGACUCCCCCGACACUGGGUACUGACGACACGGACCAGUACUCCGUACGGG
rnacentral:rRNA from 1 species